rnacentral:lncRNA from 1 species
GCAAUAUAGUCAAUAUCUCAUCUGUAUAUGGCUCCCACAAAAACUGAUAGAGUUAAAAUAAAAAAUAAAUUAGUAAACUAAAUUUUUAAUAGAUUAUAAAUACUGUAAAAUAAUAUUUAUAAAUAAAUCAAAUUUAUCUGUCUAUGUGUAUCAACUAAUGUAUCCAGCUGGUACCUAUAAAUCUAUGCCACUCUCAUCGAUACGUGGUGAAUGUUGAAUACAACAUUCUAUCUGCUUGCUAGUAUAUUCAUAUUAAAUAAAAUUUAUCAAAUUUAAAAUAGUACUAAAUUUUAAGUAAAAGAAGUAAUAUUUUUAUACCUAUAUCCCAACGGUCCGUCUAUUCUGAAUGGGACAUCAGGGUCAUGCUUUUCUGGUGGUAUCUCGAGCAACUAUCGUCAUAAUGCACUGAUAGUUGGCAUCCUCUCUCAUGUCCAAAUCUACAAAUUUAAAAAAAAAUCAUACAUAAUAUACCCAAUCAGAGCUACAAUAAAAUAUUAAAAAUAUAAAUUUUUAAUUCACAUACCUGUAAUAAAAUAAGAUAACCACCAAUCUCGCUCUAAUCAGCAUAAAAACCUUGGCACAUAGCUCUGUAUAGGCAAGCUAGUACUGCACUGCUCCAACUGAGCCUACGAGC